rnacentral:lncRNA from 1 species
GGGAUUCUGAGGUUGCCUGCAGGCUCAGAGAAAAGGGUGCCAGGAUGGAUUGGCAAUCACUGCCCUGUUAAUAGUGGCAGCUCGCAUCUCGUACGUUGUAAUCUCCAGUCUUCUUAGAGAAACUGUUCUGGUUGUCCAAUGUGGGGCGAAGGAUGGGGGAUUCGGGAAUUGAUUCAGGAAAGGCUAAGAAGGAGGAAUUCAGAGACUGUGCCGGAGACAUUGAGUCCAUUCAUCCACCAACACAAAGCGCCAGAAUCUGUUUCCAGGGGGAGAAGAGAGAACAAGAGAAGAAUUCAGAGAAGAGGCAGCCGCUGAAAGAACUUAAUUUUUUAAAGUUAUAAAACAAUACAUGCUCAUUGUACACACUGCAGAUAAAACAGAAAAGUAUAAAAAAUAACAAACACCAUAUUUAAUACCAUGCUAAAAUGUAGUGGGCAUCCAUUAUUUGUCUACUCAGCCUCUCGUCCUUACUUUUCCCUACUCCUCAGGAAACUGAGGCUUUAUCUUUUCUAGUGAUUUGUUUUCCUGCUCCAACUUUAUGGUUUCCAUACAGAAACUUCCAUUUUGUUCCGUGAUUCUUAUAACCCUCCAGCUGCCCCCUACUGGCUACAGAUGAUUGGUCCAGGAGGAGCACCUGACCCAAGAUGGUCUAAUCAGAGC